CAGUGUCUUAGCUCUCCAUGUCUGACUCCCUUAGGCUGCUUCAUAAGACUGGAACCUAUCCCUCAAGUGUAGUCCUCUGGCUAUGGCAUGCAACCUACAUCAGAAGUUUUGAAAACAAUCUCUGCCAUCCACUCUGCCGGCCAUCUCUAAUGACCAACCUGCUCACAGUUACAUCAGAGAAUUGACCAGUCAUACAGCAAGCUGCCUAUCCCUAUCCCAAGAAUUUGAAAUCUCCAUGAAUGGGUCAAUCCUUUGCCUGCAAUCACAGGGAGGUGGGGCCAAGAGUUACUAGUCACGUAACUGAGGCCAGACCAGGAGGUACCUGAUCAAUAGAUGAGUCAGAGCAGGCAGAGUAUAAAACGCCAGGAGCUCCAAGGUCCCUCACAUCGCCAUCAUCUCCUUCCCUCACUCACCUCCCCUGGUGCUUCAGGGUUCCCCUUCUCCUUAAACAAGAUGUCUCACCAGAAAAAGCAGCCCACUCCCUGUCCUCCCGUGGGUUGUGGAAAGUCCUCUGGUGGAGGAGGCGGCGGCGGCGGCGGCGGCGGUGGCGGCGGCGGCUGUGGCUACUAUAGCGGUGGUGGUGGCUGCGGAGGUGGCUCCUCUGGAGGCGGCUCCAGCUGCGGAGGCGGCGGCUCCUCUGGAGGCGGCUCCAGCUGCGGCGGCGGGGGUGGAGGCUCCGGCGGGGGCAUCAAGUACUCUGGCGGCGGCGGAGGCUCCGGCUGCGGCGGCGGCGGCUACUCCGGGGGAGGGGGCGGCUCCAGCUGUGGCGGCGGCGGCUACUCCGGCGGCGGGGGCGGCUCUAGCUGCGGCGGCGGCGGCUACUCCGGCGGCGGGGGCGGCUCCAGCUGCGGCGGCGGCGGAGGCGGCUCCGGCGGGGGCAUCAAGUACUCCGGCGGAGGCGGCGGCGGCGGCGGCUCCAGCUGCGGCGGCGGCGGCUACUCCGGCGGGGGCGGCGGCUCCAGCUGUGGAGGAGGCUCCGGAGGCGGCGGCAGCUACUGCGGAGGCUCGUCCGGAGGCGGCGGCUCCAGCUGCGGCGGCGGUUCCGGAGGGGGCAAGUACUCUGGCGGCGGCGGUGGCGGCUCCAGCUGCGGCGGCGGCGGCGGUGGCUCCAGCUGCGGCGGCGGCGGCGGUGGCUCCAGCUGCGGCGGCGGCGGCGGCUACAGCGGCGGCGGCGGCUGCGGAGGCGGCUCCUCCGGCGGCGGCGGCGGCUCCUCGGGGUCGGCGCAGCAGUAUCAGUCCCAGAGCUACGGCGGCUCCAGCUGCGGCGGCGGCGGCUACUACUCCGGCGGCGGCGGCUCCUCAGGCGGCAGCUGCGGCGGCGGCUCCUCAGGCGGCGGCGGCGGCGGCUGCGGCGGCGGCUCCUCAGGCGGCGGCUCCAGCUGCGGCGGCGGCGGCUACUCCGGCGGCGGCGGCGGCGGCGGCUGCGGCGGCGGCUCCUCAGGCGGCGGCGGCUACUACUCGUCGCAGCAGACCUCCCAGAGCUCCUGCGCCCCUCAGCAGAGCUACGGGGGAGGGUCUUCCGGCGGAGGUGGUAGCUGCGGCGGCGGCUCCUCAGGUGGCGGCGGCGGCGGCUGCGGCGGCGGCUACUCCGGGGGCGGCGGCGGCGGCUGCGGCGGAGGCUACUCCGGCGGCGGCGGGGGCUGCGGCGGCGGCGGCGGCUGCGGGGGCGGUUCCUCCGGAGGCGGCGGUGGCUCCAGCUGCGGAGGCGGGUCCGGGGGUGGCUCCUCCGGGGGCGGCUCCGGAGGUGGCAAGGGGGUCCCUAUCUGCCACCAGACGCAGCAGAAGCAGGCGCCUAGCUGGCCAUGCAAGUAAGGUCCUCCGGUUGCCACGGAGACCGAGGAGCUGGAGGUGGUCUCCGUGGGCGCCUGUGGGCUUAGCUUUCUCAUGAUUUUGCCCGAGGUUUCGAAACCCUUCACCACACCCGCCCCCUAGAAGAAGCCAUCGAGUCGCUCGAGCUGCAUCACCUUCUGCAGUUUUUUUCGUCUUGGUUUCUGAAUGACUACCUCCCAAUUCCAGUACCUCCUCAAUCAAUAAAUUUGCAAUUCAUGAGAAUCUCUGAGUCUCC
ensembl:lncRNA